rnacentral:pre_miRNA from 1 species
CGGAUCCGUCGGAUCCGUGGAUUUAAUAUCCGGAUCCGGAUCCGUCGGAUCCGUGGAUAUUAAAUCCACGGAUCCGUCGUAAGGA